rnacentral:rRNA from 1 species
GACGAACGCUGGCGGCGUGCCUAACACAUGCAAGUCGAACGGGGCUCUUUGGAUCGAGACUUCGGUCAAGUGAAUCUGAGCUUAGUGGCGGACGGGUGAGUAACGCGUGAGCAACCUGCCUUUCAGAGGGGGACAACAGUUGGAAACGACUGCUAAUACCGCAUAAUGUGUUUUGGGGGCAUCCCCGAAAUACCAAAGAUUUAUCGCUGAAAGAUGGGCUCGCGUCUGAUUAGCUAGUUGGUGGGGUAACGGCCUACCAAGGCGACGAUCAGUAGCCGGACUGAGAGGUUGAACGGCCACAUUGGGACUGAGAUACGGCCCAG